CUGUCUCUGGCAGGAAGGGUGCUGACUUUCCUCCUGUGGCUCAUAUGUCUGCGGCCAGGCUGUGGUCACUGAGCCUGUAAUGCUUCAGCCUAUGUCUCUGUCUGGAAGACUGAACUAUUCUAGAGUUUGCAGUCCAGUGCCUUUUCCCUCUGUAUUGUGCUCCAGUGGGUGGGGAAGUUCUGUUUGUGUUCGAACGCUCCAUAGGAAGAAGGAAAUGGGGAAAAUGAACAAGCGUGCCCAGUUUUGAUGGCAUCUGCAGAGCUACCGUAAGGUCUUGUCCCACCCCAGCUGAUGAUAAAGCCACAACAUUUUUAAAAAGCUCGGUAAGUAACUGAAAUGUUUAAAAAAAUGCAAAAGCGAACCAAGCCUAACCCCGCCCCCCUGUACAGUACUGCUAAUAUCCUGGUUGGAUGGUCUUUCCAGUUAAUUUGGUCCAUUAGCGACCUUUCACCAGCUGUGUCACCAGAGUCCUACAACUCUCCCUGUUUUUGAAGCACUUAUUUCCUGUCUGCAGUGAGCGAGCAAGUCUGGUUGGUAAGAUGGUGGUAGCCUGAGUCUGCUGGCUGUGUACUCCAGUUUUAUUCCCUUUGUUUCUUGUUUUGCGAUGAGAUCUCGUCUCUGCUGCAAGAAGCCCCAAGGAGUCGGGCACAGGAUGCCCUGCUCCGGGGAUGUUCUGAUGAGCCACAGGCUGUGGUUUCACAGGCGUGAGAUGGAGGCGCCCGAGGGAAGGAGGGUGAGAGUUUUCACUGAGAAACUUCACAGUUGUCUCAUAUACCCCCCACGCCAAUAUAUCACCCCCUCUUACCGGGGGGGGGGCUGAGGGUGAUGAAAGAGGAGGCCGCGUGCCAAGGCAGAGCUCCCGAACUGAGACAGCCCUCCUCCUCCUCUCCCUCCUAACCAGACAACGACAGCCACACAGAGGAGCAAAUAGGCGAGCUCCUUCUGGGGUGAAAUUAAAAUCUCCAUUUCUGUGGGAAUUUCUGCCUUCCCCAGUCCCCACAAGGAGUAGAGGAGGAUGUCCAGGUGGCUCCUUGAAGCCGUCCAUCCUGUGUCACCUUCCCACUCUCAGGAGCUCACUGGAGGAGCGGCCGCCCAGGAAGUCACAGUGGGUCCAGAGCCAAGAGCUGCCCUUGCUGGCUACUUGCACCCAUCGCCCCCUGGUGGCCCUUAGCUCUCUUCAGACACCCUCUCAGGAUGUCCCGUACCGGCAUUGAAAACUGGACCCUUCUUUUCAACCAAUCCAGAGACAGACUUUCAUUUAGGUAGUAGUUCAGGUGGGUAGCUGCGUCAGCAUACGUAGGCUGCAAAGGAACAAGUAAUAGGUUUAUUCCAUGCUGAAAAAAAGAAGAAAGAGAACACAACGUUGUGUUCUCUUUCUUCUUUUUUUCAGCAUGGAAUAAACCUAUUACUUGUUCCUUUCAUUUAGGUAUACGCCUACCUCCGAUAACAGAUUGCCGCAUGGGAGGGGAGUGAAAAAAAACAAAGAGAAUGUAACACCGGGCCCGAUAACCACGACUUCUGGGUCAUCGAGCCCAGUCUGCCUUUGGGCCAAGUGGCCGAUUAGCAUCCCCUUAGUACUGCCAUUGAGCAGUGCGUGCUGGGGUGUGAAAGAGUUAUCAGUGACACAGCACAGCCC
ensembl:lincRNA